AGACCCGAAACCCGGUGAUCUAGCCAUGGGCAGGUUGAAGGUUGGGUAACACUAACUGGAGGACCGAACCGACUAAUGUUGAAAAAUUAGCGGAUGACCUGUGGCUGGGGGUGAAAGGCCAAUCAAACCGGGAGAUAGCUGGUUCUCCCCGAAAGCUAUUUAGGUAGCGCCUCGUGAAUUCAUCUCCGGGGGUAGAGCACUGUUUCGGCUAGGGGGCCAUCCCGGCUUACCAACCCGAUGCAAACUGCGAAUACCGGAGAAUGUUAUCACGGGAGACACACGGCGGGUGCUAACGUCCGUCGUGAAGAGGGAAACAACCCAGACCGCCAGCUAAGGUCCCAAAGUCAUGGUUAAGUGGGAAACGAUGUGGGAAGGCCCAGACAGCCAGGAUGUUGGCUUAGAAGCAGCCAUCAUUUAAAGAAAGCGUAAUAGCUCACUGGUCGAGUCGGCCUGCGCGGAAGAUGUAACGGGGCUAAACCAUGCACCGAAGCUGCGGCAGCGACACUGUGUGUUGUUGGGUAGGGGAGCGUUCUGUAAGCCUGUGAAGGUGUGUCGUGAGGCAUGCUGGAGGUAUCAGAAGUGCGAAUGCUGACAUAAGUAACGAUAAAGCGGGUGAAAAGCCCGCUCGCCGGAAGACCAAGGGUUCCUGUCCAACGUUAAUCGGGGCAGGGUGAGUCGACCCCUAAGGCGAGGCCGAAAGGCGUAGUCGAUGGGAAACGGGUUAAUAUUCCCGUACUUGGUGUUACUGCGAAGGGGGGACGGAGAAGGCUAUGUUGGCCGGGCGACGGUUGUCCCGGUUUAAGCGUGUAGGUGUGUGUUCUAGGUAAAUCCGGUUCACUUUAACACUGAGGCGUGACGACGAGGCACUACGGUGCUGAAGCAACAAAUGCCCUGCUUCCAGGAAAAGCCUCUAAGCAUCAGGUAACAUCAAAUCGUACCCCAAACCGACACAGGUGGUCAGGUAGAGAAUACCAAGGCGCUUGAGAGAACUCGGGUGAAGGAACUAGGCAAAAUGGUGCCGUAACUUCGGGAGAAGGCACGCUGACACGUAGGUGAAGUGAUUUACUCAUGGAGCUGAAGUCAGUCGAAGAUACCAGCUGGCUGCAACUGUUUAUUAAAAACACAGCACUGUGCAAACACGAAAGUGGACGUAUACGGUGUGACGCCUGCCCGGUGCCGGAAGGUUAAUUGAUGGGGUCAGCGCAAGCGAAGCUCCUGAUCGAAGCCCCGGUAAACGGCGGCCGUAACUAUAACGGUCCUAAGGUAGCGAAAUUCCUUGUCGGGUAAGUUCCGACCUGCACGAAUGGCGUAAUGAUGGCCAGGCUGUCUCCACCCGAGACUCAGUGAAAUUGAACUCGCUGUGAAGAUGCAGUGUACCCGCGGCAAGACGGAAAGACCCCGUGAACCUUUACUAUAGCUUGACACUGAACAUUGAGCCUUGAUGUGUAGGAUAGGUGGGAGGCUUUGAAGUGUGGACGCCAGUCUGCAUGGAGCCGACCUUGAAAUACCACCCUUUAAUGUUUGAUGUUCUAACGUGGACCCGUUACCCGGGUUGCGGACAGUGUCUGGUGGGUAGUUUGACUGGGGCGGUCUCCUCC
rnacentral:rRNA from 2 species